ACCCUAGCUCAGUCUUCUCUUCACCUUCGACUUCCAGUUCCAGCUCGGUGACUCAAUCUCCCUCUUCGAGCUCCUCUUCAUCUGAUUCCUCUUCAUCUUCGAGCUCAAUCAUCGACUCCUCUUCAUCGGAUUCAUCUUCAGUGACUUCAGUCGGCUCUUCUCCUUCGAGCUUGAGCACAGUUGAUUCCACUUCUCCUUUGAGAGGCAGAGUCCAAACGAGUUUCCUCGAUCUCACUCGUUGUUCUUCAAUCAACCGGAGAAGGUGACGAAUCCCUUGUUUGAAAAGAGGCCAAAGCAAUUUGGAAUUGGAGGGGCUCUGCCUCCAAAGAGGGACUUGACUUGAUUCGUCAAAUUCCCCAAGACUGUUCAGAUCUAGAGGAAGAGGAGGAUUCUGAAGCAGAGGUUGAAGGUCCCACCUACUCUUAACCAGUUCACAAAGACACUGGAUAAAAACCUUGGUAGAAGCCCAGUCCCUUGGGCUGACGAAGUGUUGCACUCUCGGUAUCCAGCAUCAGAAGCACAGAAGACAUUGUCGGUCUAUCUUCUGCACAUACUUGAAUGCACAAGAGCCCAACUUGUAUGCAUCUCAUAACUUCCAAAAAGCGGGAAAGAAUCAUCCAUCCAUUCAUCUAUCAGCUCAUAUGCCUUCCCUUCAACCCAUUGUUUCCACGCCGACGAUCCUGAUAUGUUAAAUGAAAAUCUCAGAGAAGGGCAUCUGUAAAAUACGAUGAGCUUUUGAUAAGAAGUUUACAUGGCAAAGAAGAUUGAAAUGGUGGUCAGGAUGGUGAAACUCUCGGUUCCUUUGUGCCACUAAUUAUUUCAAGCAAGAGCACUCCGAAGCUGAAGAUAUCCGACUUUAUUGAGAAUAUCCCAUCAAUGGCAUAUUAUGGUGACGUGUAGCCGCUGCAUUUCAAUCGUGAAAGUAUUUUCGACUUUUGGAGACACAAAACAAUUGAUAUGAAUUUUAAGUGUCAAGACGAGAAGGUUUCAUGUAUUUUUUUGAUGGCUUACUAUGUGCCGAUUAUUCUUUUGGUUUUCUCUAGAAAAUCUAUAUUCCAUGUUUCUUUGGCUCAGAUAAAAGAAAACACAAACUGUAAACUGUAAAGUUCCUCAUUUGGCAGUGCAAUAUCUUUCAGAUUUUCCAUUUGCACAAGCA